AUGUUCGUGCAUCUGCCCGACUCGGUUUUUAAGGAGCACCUUGCACCAUCAUGUUCACCAACUGGUCUGGUUAUGAUAUCGGGAGGUUCGGUGACGGCAGCUGUUGUGGAGGCUGAGAUUGCUAAAAUCGCCUCGGUUCAAACUUCAUGGAAGUGGGAGGCCGUUCCUCAUGGUGAUGAUGCCUUCUUGGUUGCCUUUCCAUCUAUGGAGGUUUUGCGUCGAGUGUCUGCUUUCGAGUUCAAAGUCAAGUCUCACAAUGUCAUGAUUGCUAUUAGUGAAUGGAAAUCAAAAAAUGAUGUCAAGCCUGCAUAUAAUCCGCUAAAGCCAGUUUGGGUACAUGUCACUGGAGUUCCACCGCCACUUCGCCACUUUCUUGGUUUGUGGGCAGUGGGAUCCGUCAUCGGUGCAACACAAGAUGUUGACUUGAUUUGCUUACGACGUCGUGGCAUUGUGCGUAUUCAGGUGGCUGUCCUGAAUCUAAAUAUAUUCAAGAAAGAGGAUAAUGCAGGGAGUGCCUGA
rnacentral:rRNA from 1 species